rnacentral:misc_RNA from 1 species
GAUGAAGAACUCAGCGAAAUGCGAUACUUGGUGUGAAUUGCAGAAUCCCGUGAACCAUCGAGUCUUUGAACGCAAGUUGCGCCCGAAGCCAUUAGGCCGAGGGCACGCCUGCCUGGGCGUCACACGUCGUUGCCCCCCCAUCUACUCCUUCGGGAUUGCGGGGGGCGGAUGAUGGCCUCCCGUGCGCCUCGCCGCGCGGUUGGCAUAAAUGCCAAGUCCUCGGCGACGCACGCCACGACAAUCGGUGGUUGCGAAACCUCGGUUGCCCGUCGUGUGCGGUCGUCGCGCAUCGAGGGCUCGAAAAAAUUGCCGGGUUCCGGCUCGGCUUUCAACGCGACCCCAGGUCAGGCGGGGUUACCCGCUGAAUUUAAGCAUAUCAAUAAGCGGAGGA